AGCCUGACGCAGCAACGCCGCGUGGGCGAUGAAGGCCUUCGGGUUGUAAAGCCCUUUUCUGGGGGAAGAGGAAGGACGGUACCCCAGGACUAAGUCCCGGCUAACUACGUGCCAGCAGCCGCGGUAAAACGUAGGGGGCAAGCGUUAUCCGGAUUCAUUGGGCGUAAAGCGCGUGCAGGUGGUGCUUUAAGUUGGGCGUGAAAUCUCCCGGCUUAACUGGGAGGGGUCGUUCAAUACUGAACCACUUGAGGGCAGGAGAGGGAGGUGGAAUUCCCGGUGUAAUGGUGAAAUGCGUAUAUAUCGGGAGGAACACCAUUGGCGAAUGCGGCCUCCUGGCCUGCUCCUGACACUAAGACGCGAAAGCUAGGGGAGCGAACGGGAUUAGAUACCCCGGUAGUCCUAGCUGUAAACGAUGGAUACUAGGUGUGGGUGGCAUUGACCCCAUCCGUGCCGUAGCUAACGCGAUAAGUAUCCCGCCUGGGGACUACGGCCGCAAGGUUAAAACUCAAAGGAAUUGACGG
rnacentral:rRNA from 1 species